CUGUUAAAGGAGCAGGUGUCGCAGUUAAUUAUCAUUAUGGAGAAAUCUGUGAUAUUCAGAUUAAUCAGAAAUAUUGAGUUACCGACUUGCUUCGCAGGAUGAAGGUUGCAGAGUGAUGGAUGUUGUUUUAUUCCCAGGAAGCAACACAACUCUCCCGUUCCUACCAAUUAGUUGAAUCAUUUAACUUAAUAAUUAAUGAAAUUAUACGGAUAAUCAAUUGUU